GCGGUGGAGCAUGUGGUUUAAUUCGAAGCAACGCGAAGAACCUUACCAGGCCUUGACAUGCAGAGAACUUUCCAGAGAUGGAUUGGUGCCUUCGGGAACUCUGACACAGGUGCUGCAUGGCUGUCGUCAGCUCGUGUCGUGAGAUGUUGGGUUAAGUCCCGUAACGAGCGCAACCCUUGUCCUUAGUUACCAGCACGUUAUGGUGGGCACUCUAAGGAGACUGCCGGUGACAAACCGGAGGAAGGUGGGGAUGACGUCAAGUCAUCGUGGCCCUUACGGCCUGGGCUACACACGUGCUACAAUGGUCGGUACAAAGGGUUGCCAAGCCGCGAGGUGGAGCUAAUCCCAUAAAACCGAUCGUAGUCCGGAUCGCAGUCUGCAACUCGACUGCGUGAAGUCGGAAUCGCUAGUAAUCGUGAAUCAGAAUGUCACGGUGAAUACGUUCCCGGGCCUU
rnacentral:rRNA from 1 species